rnacentral:rRNA from 1 species
ACGCUCGACACCUACGGGAGGCAGCAGUGGGGAAUAUUGCACAAUGGGGGAAACCCUGAUGCAGCGAUGCCGCGUGAAGGAAGAAGUAUCUCGGUAUGUAAACUUCUAUCAGCAGGGAAGAAAAUGACGGUACCUGACUAAGAAGCCCCGGCUAACUACGUGCCACAGCCGCGGUAAUCUGAGCGGGCUGGCAAGGC